AUUGUGGGAUUGGGCUCCUGAUGAAAGAAUGAGUUCAGCCCCUUUCCUCUGUAAUGUAUGCACAUGUUCUCUUGCCUUCUGCCUUCUGCCAUGGAAUGAUGUAGCAAGAAGCCUCUCAUCAGAUGCACGCCCAUCAGCCUUGUACUUUCCAGCCUCUAGAACUAAGGUGAAGCAGGAACAGGCACAACACAUGGUGAAGCCAGAAGCAAGAGAGAGCAAGGGGGAAGGAAUGACUUGCAAAUUUUGUUGAACCUCUCACAUGUUUAUCAGGUAACAGAAACUGAAUAAAUAGAUCUUUAUAGUGACAAUUUAUAUUAAUCUAGCUGGUAAUUUGACAGUGUUUAAUGUUUGCUUCAGUUACAGUAGUAUCUUAGUUUUUGCCUUAUUUCUUGACUUUAGGCUUCCUUAAGUACUUCCCCUCAGAAAGUCUGCAUUUUGCAGCUUUUACAAUACUAAUCACUGUGAUUAUGCUAGAGCCCUGUUGGCACAGUGGUAAGGUAAGGGUGAAGAAAACAUUCUAUAAUCUUCCAAUUAAAUUUCAAUCAAGAUAGGCACAUGACUUUCAUAAAUUGUUUCUACAAUGACAUACCUUUUCCUUUCUAUUUUAUCUUCUUUUUUAACUCCCUCCCUUAGCUGCAGCAUUCUUGACCUCUUUACUCAAACCACUAACACCUGUGACUGUGACUAUGUUUGUGUCACCAUCACCACCACCCCAACCCUCCCCCCACCUGCCUAGAGAGGCAAAAAUGCUAGAGGGAGAUAGUGCAGAAGGAAUUUUCUUCCCUCAGUUAGCAUAAGACUCUGGCAAAGUACUUUUCCCUAUAAAAUAGGCCUUUGUUGUAGAGAAGGCUCAGUGCAUUUCAUAAUUAUUACUCUUCUUCUUCUCCUUCCAGAGCCCAGAGAGGAUCUUUCUCUGGUGUUCACAAUGUUCACAAAAGUGGGCUUCCUGGAGGUAAAGCCCACAAAAUAGUGGAGACUGGCAGAAAUUUCUCACUCUAACGCUAUUCCUCACUCAGCCUCCAACAAUUUACCAAAUUUGCCAUUGAAAUGUUCCAACCAGCUUAUGGCUCCUGUGGCUUCUACUCCAAGUAAUCAGACCUUGGUCCUGAUGUUCUGGCUUUGCCUGUGUUUUCGGAUUGUGGCACAGUGGUUUUUCUUGCAACCCCAAAUCUCUGAGGAGACAAAGAAAAGCCACUGAUUGUCAGUUUGUCCAGCUUUUGCUUAUAAGGAUGGAAGUUACAAUUUAUAAGCUCUUUACAUGUCAGAGCUGAAAGUAGAAGUCUAACGUGUAUUUUUUAUAUAGAUUAGAUAUAUAUCAUUUGUUGAUUAGAUAUGUAUAGAUAUAUUCUUUAAUUAUAGCUAAACAUUUUAUUUUUUAAUGUACUUGGAAUAAAGAGAACUGUCUAAUGUUAAUAUCAUACAAUUAGUCUUUCCUUUAUUAGUAUUUUGUGCAUUUUCUGUCUUUCUUUCUUUUUUUUUUUUUUUUUGAAACGGAGUUUUGCUCGUUGCCCAGGCUGGAGUGCAAUGGCGCAAUCUCGGCUCACCACAAACUCUGCCUCCCAGGUUCAAGGGAUUCUCCUAACUCAGCCUUCCAAGUAGCUGAGAUUACAGACAUGCACCACCAUACCAGGCUAAUUUUGUGUUUUUAGUAGAGAUGGGGCUUCUCCAUGUUGGUUAGGCUGGUCUCGAACUCCUGACCUCAGGUGAUCCACCUGCCUUGGCCUCUCAAAGUUCUAGGAUUACAGACGUGAGCCACUGCACCCAGCUUGUGCCCUUUCUAAUAUGGCUAAAUAUUAUGAAGAUAUUCUAUGAUCUCAUCUACAAGCUUUAUGGUUUAGCAUUUCAUAUUUAAAUUUACAAUGCCCCCAAAAUUGAUAUAUGGCAUGAGAUAGGGUCAAGACUAUUAAUUUUUCCAUAGGUUAUGUAGUUGACUUGGCACCUUCAUUGAAAGCACAGUGCUGUCCCCGUUGGUCUGGUCUUAACUUAAUUGUCCAUAUAAGUGAGAGUGUCUUUCUGAACUCUAUAAUCUGUGAUAUUGAUUUGACUAUUUGUGUUUGUCUAGCAUGUUAUUUUAACUACUCUUAUAAUAAAGAUAGUUAACUGCUUAGCUACUUUAUAGUGUCUUGAUAUUCAGUAGUAUAUGUGUCCCCUAAUUUUGUUCUCCUUUAAGAUUGUCUAGGUCCAGAGUUGCCGAAGCUUUUCUGUAAAGGGACAAAUAAUAAAUAAAGGUGAUAUUGUGGGGC